rnacentral:rRNA from 1 species
CCUACGGGUGGCAGCAGUGGGGGAUAUUGCACAAUGGAGGAAACUCUGAUGCAGCGACGCCGCGUGAGGGAAGACGGUCUUCGGAUUGUAAACCUCUGUCUUUGGGGAAGAAAAUGACGGUACCCACAGAGGAAGCUCCGGCUAACUACGUGCCAGCAGCCGCGGUACUACGUAGGGCGCGAGCGUUGUCCGGAAUUACUGGGUGUAAGGGGAGCGUAGGCGGGUGAGAAAGUUGAAUGUUAAAUCUACCGGUUUAACUGGUAGCUGCGUUCAAAACUUCUUGUCUUGAGUGAAGUAGAGGAAGGCGGAAUCCCUAGUGUAGCGGUGAAAUGCGUAGAUAUUAGGAGGAACACCAGUGGCGAGGCGGCCUGCUGGGCUUUAACUGACGCUGAGGCUCGAAAGCGUGGGGAGCAAACAGGAUUAGAUACCCUUGUAGUC